AGGAGUAAUAGGAGCUAAUAAUAUCCAACCAUCAAACCAGCAGAAUCUAAUAGGAUAUGAGUUGAUAUCAAAUGCAGAGUUUACAUUUUCACCGUGGACACCUUUUCCUACCAAGAG